AGCGAACGCUGGCGGCAGGCCUAACACAUGCAAGUCGAACGGACCCUUCGGGAUUAGUGGCGGACGGGUGAGUAACACGUGGGAACGUGCCCUUUGGUUCGGAACAACUCAGGGAAACUUGAGCUAAUACCGGAUGUGCCCUUCGGGGGAAAGAUUUAUCGCCAUUGGAGCGGCCCGCGUCUGAUUAGCUAGUUGGUGAGGUAAAGGCUCACCAAGGCGACGAUCAGUAGCUGGUCUGAGAGGAUGAUCAGCCACAUUGGGACUGAGACACGGCCCAAACUCCUACGGGAGGCAGCAGUGGGGAAUCUUGCGCAAUGGGCGAAAGCCUGACGCAGCCAUGCCGCGUGAAUGAUGAAGGUCUUAGGAUUGUAAAAUUCUUUCACCGGGGAUGAUAAUGACGGUACCCGGAGAAGAAGCCCCGGCUAACUUCGUGCCAGCCGCCGCAGUAA
rnacentral:rRNA from 1 species